GAGUGAUCUCCCCUGAGCCUGCCAGUGUAAAAUAAACCACCUGCCUUCCAAGCUAUCUGAGUGCCACUUGCUUCUGCUGCUGGGUGAUCCAGACCAGAUUCUGUAACAUUUGGUUUCCUGACCGGGAAACCUAACCGUGCUGGCCCGUUGUUGCCACCAGUUUAAGAAAACGGCGAGGCGGUGACGAAAUGAGAAACUGCAAAGGAGAAGGCGCGCCCUGCCUGAAUUUUGGUAGUCUCCCAAGGAGACUUGGCAGGUUAACACAUCCUGACGCUGGGCACAACUGAGAAACAGAGGAUGACGUGAACAACCAGGACACAAGACUGCAAGGCUGUGGAUGGUGCAGAUAGGAUUAAUAGCAGGAACAGAGAAGUGACUAACUCUAAGGUCCAUUGGCCAGAGGCAGUCAUGUGGCCCUGUCGACUACGAAGGGAAGUGUGCUCAGAAGAAGACAAAUGGAUGUUGUUUUUUAGAUGAUGAAGCUGAGGCUGAAAGACUAUGAAGGACUUAAUGUGAGGUCUUACAGCAGUUACAACUGAGCCAAGUUUCUUGAAGACAGCUGUGAAAUGACCCUGGACAAGCUGACUGCAUUAUUCUAGGUUCAAAUUUCAUCCUCUGUAAAGUAAAAAGUACAGGUAGGAGAGGAGAGCUUACCUAUGACCUUCUUCUCUUCUUGAACUUGCCUAUGAUGCCUGGGGUAUGGCUGUCACCUUGUGACCAGGAGGCAGCAAGCAUGAGGAGGAAAAGCUAACAAUGCUACCGUUGGUGGAACAAAGAAACAGAAGGAAUCCAGAUCCUCAAUAACACUGUUGAGCCACUGAAAUAAUAUCAGCAACAGCCCAUCUCAAACCUUGUCAUAUGAGAAA